rnacentral:rRNA from 1 species
AUGAACGCUGGCGGCGUGCCUAAUACAUGCAAGUCGAGCGAACAGACGAGGAGCUUGCUCCUCUGACGUUAGCGGCGGACGGGUGAGUAACACGUGGAUAACCUACCUAUAAGACUGGGAUAACUUCGGGAAACCGGAGCUAAUACCGGAUAAUAUAUUGAACCGCAUGGUUCAAUAGUGAAAGACGGUUUUGCUGUCACUUAUAGAUGGAUCCGCGCCGCAUUAGCUAGUUGGUAAGGUAACGGCUUACCAAGGCAACGAUGCGUAGCCGACCUGAGAGGGUGAUCGGCCACACUGGAACUGAGACACGGUCCAGACUCCUACGGGAGGCAGCAGUAGGGAAUCUUCCGCAAUGGGCGAAAGCUUGACGGAGCAACGCCGCGUGAGUGAUGAAGGUCUUCGGAUCGUAAAACUCUGUUAUUAGGGAAGAACAAAUGUGUGAGUAACUAUGCACGUCUUGACGGUACCUAAUCAGAAAGCCACGGCUAACUACGUG